AUGAAUAUCUUUAGGAAGUUUGCUUCCAAGAAGAACUCCAAGGGGGUUAUUGGGCAGUCAUCUGACAAUGAUCUUCAUACCCCGAGGUUGGCGGAGUUACGGCCGUGUGAGUGGUCGGACAAUGAGUUCAUGGGAGAGGCCGAAAUCCUCCAAGAGUUCAACCAAUAUGCUGCUAAUGCCGGCCUCACCGACUUCAUCGUAGCUGAAUGCGAACAGUAUCAUCUCCUCACAAAUUCCUUUGUGCAAAACUUCAUUUCAUCUAGGAAUAAUCCCCCUGAGGUGUCAUUUAACUUAUAUGCUGAACACCGUCAGACCCCACUUACUGAAUUUUGUGACAUAUGCAUGCUUUCUUCUGAUGGGGGUUUGGUAGAGCCUAGGCCCUCAAAGUUUGAUGGUUUUUACCGUACUCUGAUAGUGGGGGAUGAGAGGAGUUUUGAGCACCACUGUCACUAG
rnacentral:rRNA from 1 species